rnacentral:rRNA from 1 species
AACGAACGCUGGCGGCAUGCCUAACACAUGCAAGUCGAGCGGAUGAAGGGGGCCUGCUCCCGCAGGAAGCGGCGGACGGGUGUGUAAUGCCUAGAAAUCUGCCUGGUAGUGGGGGAUGACGUCCGGAAACGGGCGCAAAUACUGCAUCCGAACAGUGGGAGAAACUGGAGGUUCUCCGGACCUCACGCAUUCAGUUGAGCCUAGGUGGGAUUAGCUAGUUGGUGGGGUAAAGGCCUACAAAGGCGACGAUCCGAAACUGGUCUGAGAGGACGAUCAGUCACACUGGAAGUGAGACACGGUCCAGACUCCUACGGGAGGCAGCAGUGGGGAAUAUUGGACAAGGGGCGAAAGCCUGAUCCAGCCAUGCCGCGUGUGUGAAGAAGGUCUUCGGACUGUAAAGCACUUUAAGUUGGGAGGAAGGGCAGUAAGUUAAAACCUUGCUAUUUUGACGGUACCAAAAGAAUAAGCACCGGCUAACUUCGUG